UUCCUUCCAGUCGAUGGGGCUGUUACACCUCAUCAAUCGGAAGGAAUCCCUUCCGGUCCUCAUUGAUCAGAAGGGAUUCCUUCCGAUCGAUGAGGUGUAACAACCUCAUCAACCAGAAGGGA
rnacentral:miRNA from 1 species